rnacentral:rRNA from 1 species
UACAGAGGUGGCAAGCGUUGUUCGGAAUUACUGGGCGUAAAGGGCGCGUAGGCGGCCAGCACAAGUCAGUUGUGAAAUCUCCGAGCUUAACUCGGAAAGGUCAACUGAUACUGUGCGGCUAGAGUGCGGAAGGGGCAACUGGAAUUCUUGGUGUAGCGGUGAAAUGCGUAGAUAUCAAGAGGAACACCUGCGGCGAAGGCGGGUUGCUGGGCCGACAUUGACGCUGAUGCGCGAAAGCUAGGGGAGCGAACGGG